rnacentral:ncRNA from 1 species
ACCCCUGUGAGAAUGCCCUACAGUUCCCUGCUUGGGAACAAGGAGCCGGUAUCAGGCACAUUUCACGAGAUUAAGCCCACGACACCUUGCUAAGCCACACCCUCAAGGGAAUUCAGCAGUGACAGACAUUAAGCCAUAAGUGAAAACUUGACUUAGUCAAAGCUAACAGGGUCGGUAAAACUCGUGCCAGCUACCGCGGUUAUACGAGAGACCCAAGUUGAUAGGCACCGGCGUAAAGAGUGGUUAAGGAAAAAAACAGACUAAAGCCGAACGCCUACAGGGCUGUUAUACGCAUCCGAAGGUAAGAAGUACAAUCACGAAAGUAGCUUUACUACCCCUGAACCCACGAAAGCCAAGGCACAAACUGGGAUUAGAUACCCCACUAUGCUUUGCCCUAAACAUCGAUAGUGUUAUACCCCACUAUCCGCCGGGGAACUACGAGCAUUAGCUUAAAACCCAAAGGACUUGGCGGUGCUUUAGAUCCACCUAGAGGAGCCUGUUCUAGAACCGAUACCCCCCGUUCAACCUCACCUUUCCUUGUUUAACCCGCCUAUAUACCGCCGUCGUCAGCCUACCCUGUGAGGGCUUAAUAGUGAGCUCAAUUGGCAUAGCCCAAAACGUCAGGUCGAGGUGUAGCGUAUGGAAAGGGAAGAAAUGGGCUACAUUCACUAAACUACAGUGAAUACGAAAAGUGUACUGAAAGACACACUUGAAGGAGGAUUUAGCAGUAAGCAAAAAAUAGAGUGUUUAGCUGAAAUUGGCCCUGAAGCGCGCACACACCGCCCGUCACUCUCCCCAAGCUACCCAUAUAAAGUAACUAACCCCACAGACCACCGCGAAGGGGAGGCAAGUCGUAACAUGGUAAGCGUACCGGAAGGUGCGCUUGGAAAAAU